rnacentral:rRNA from 1 species
CCUACGGGGGGCAGCAGUCGAGAAUCAUUCACAAUGGGGGAAACCCUGAUGGUGCGACGCCGCGUGGGGGAAUGAAGGUCUUCGGAUUGUAAACCCCUGUCAUGUGGGAGCAAAUUAAAAAGAUAGUACCACAAGAGGAAGAGACGGCUAACUCUGUGCCAGCAGCCGCGGUAAUACAGAGGGCUCAAGCGUGGUUCGGAAUCACUGGGCGGAAAGCGUGCGUAGGCUGUUUCGUAAGUCGUGUGUGAAAGGCGCGGGCUCAACCCGCGGACGGCAGAUGAUACUGGGAGACUAGAGUAAUGGAGGGGGAACCGGAAUUCUAGGUGUAGCAGUGAAAUGCGUAGAUAUCGGGAGGAACACUCGUGGCGAAGGCGGGUUCCUGGACAUUAACUGACGCUGAGGCACGAAGGCCAGGGGAGCGAAAGGGAUUAGAUACCCGAGUAGUC